rnacentral:rRNA from 1 species
CCUACGGGGGGCUGCAGUGGGGAAUAUUGGACAAUGGGGGCAACCCUGUUCCAGCCAUGCCGCGUGUGUGAAGAAGGCCCUCGGGUUGUAAAGCACUUUCAGUGAGGAAGAACGCCUGGUGGUUAAUACCCAUCAGGAAAGACAUCACUCACAGAAGAAGCACCGGCUAACUCCGUGCCAGCAGCCGCGGUAAUACGGAGGGUGCGAGCGUUAAUCGGAAUUACUGGGCGUAAAGCGCGCGUAGGUGGCUUGAUAAGCCGGUUGUGAAAGCCCCGGGCUCAACCUGGGAACGGCAUCCGGAACUGUCAAGCUAGAGUGCAGGAGAGGAAGGUAGAAUUCCCGGUGUAGCGGUGAAAUGCGUAGAGAUCGGGAGGAAUACCAGUGGCGAAGGCGGCCUUCUGGACUGACACUGACACUGAGGUGCGAAAGCGUGGGUAGCAAACAGGAUUAGAUACCCUGGUAGUC